CACGUAGUUAGCCGUGGCUUUCUGAUUAGGUACCGUCAAGACGUGCACAGUUACUUACACAUUUGUUCUUCCCUAAUAACGGAGUUUUACGAUCCGAAGACCUUCAUCACUCACGCGGCGUUGCUCCGUCAGGCUUUCGCCCAUUGCGGAAGAUUCCCUACUGCUGCCUCCCGUAGGAGUCUGGACCGUGUCUCAGUUCCAGUGUGGCCGAUCACCCUCUCAGGUCGGCUACGUAUCGUUGCCUUGGUAAGCCAUUACCCCACCAACUAGCUAAUACGGCGCGGGUCCAUCUAUAAGUGAUAGCAAAACCAUCUUUCACUUUAGAACCAUGCGGUUCUAAAUAUUAUCCGGCAUUAGCCCCGGUUUCCGGAGUUAUUCCAGUCUUAUAGGUAGGUUACCCACGUGUUACUCACCCGUCCGCCGCUAACGUCAAAGGAGCAAGCUCCUUAUCUGUUCGCUCGACUUGCAUGUAUUAGGCACGCCGCCAGCGUUCAUCCUGAGCCAGGAUCAAACUCU
rnacentral:rRNA from 1 species